AUACCCCGCUAUUCACACCAAACAAACCCUUAUUCCCCUAAAACCCCUCACCUUCUCCUCUCUCCUCCGAAUGGGCCUUCAAUCCACCAAACAAGGUAUUAGCAUUAAUUGUUUAGCUUCUUUUUUAUCUCACCUCUGCGUUUUUAACGUUAAUCCUGUAAAACCUUAAUGAUUUUUGUUGUUACAUGUUUGAAAUUACGAAUUCCUAUUGGUUGCUAGAGAACCCUACGUAUUGGUGAUUUGUUGACCAAAUCUGGUCCUUUAAUAUGUUUAUGUUUUAAUCUCGACCCUACAACGAUAGGAUCGUGGGGAAGAAACCUCAAAUUUGAGGAUUGUCCCACAUUGUUUAGGGUUAGGGUUUGAGGAUUUUGGGCUUCUAUAGAUAGAACCCCUCAUUUCACAUUUUGCAGGGAGAGAGAGGAGAAUAUCAGAUAUUCACACUAAAAACUCGAAAAUUGGGGUUUUUGCUUAUUGCUAGAACCUAUCCUUUUUCAGAGUUAAGUUUCAAAUUUUAAAGUUUAUUUCUUGUUGUGAUUUGGGGCUCAGUAUGAGGCAAAAAGGGGGGGAAAAUCAUCCAAAGGUCCAAGCUCUCUUCUAAGCUGUGCAACAAGAGGGACUGGGCCUAACUCUGUUGUGGGCCUGAUUUCGUAUAUUGGAAAUGGAAGCUAAUAUUUAUUGAAGGCCCAACCAUGGGUGUAAAUGGUGAAGGCCCAGCUAUGGGUAAAAAUAGCACUAAUGGGGCGGGUAGCCCAUUAGUAUUCUAAAUUCUUCCUCCUCCUCCUAUGUUUAUUUGUUAUGUUUUUUUUUUGUAAAAUUAAACCUUAUUAUUAGUGGAACCUUGUAGGAUGUAGAUACUAGGAUUAUCACCUAGUUAAUUGGGUAAUUAAGAUAAAAGAAGUUCAAAUCUUUUCAAACUUUGGGCUUAAGACCAAUUUUUUGGGAAA